rnacentral:misc_RNA from 1 species
GUCCAACUUUAUAAAGAAAGCAGGCGAUGUGAGAUAAAAGGAUUGAGAAAAAUUUGUUGGCAGCAGCGAUAAUGGAAAGAUAAUUAGGUACAGAUAUAUUCAAAUCUUAUUUUAUUUGGUUCCAAAAACGUCAUAAUCUGAGAACCUCCACAAUGGUCCAUAGUUCCAAACUAAAGCCAUCAACACAAGGGUCCCUGUGUAAAGGAAAAGACGAGGAAGCUAAAAUACCUUAUACCCACUCGUACUAUCCUCUCUCUCUCUCUCUCAAUGCAAAGCCAAAUCUCCUGUCAAUUUCAAAUAUAUAUUAUAAUGAAAGCAAAGCCCUAAAAAGAAUCCCCCAACACCACCACCAAAGUUCAUCCACAUAAAAAAGUUGUCCAUUAUAACUAUAUCUUAUAAUCUAUGAAUAUAUUUUGGGACACACUUGAAAGACACCUUUGCCCCUUCAUUAAGACAACUUCUGGUCCAAUAUGCUUUACUUUUGAUGUCCACCGACCCUAAUUAGAAAGAUACUUCGCAACCAAUUAACCAAAGAAAAUAGGAUCAACAAAGGGUAUAUAAUCAAAGAAAGUGAAUAAUUGAUACGGCCAAGAAGAGUCCUAUUCUCGAUAGAAGCAAGAAAAGAAAAGUUAAUUGCAUGAACACACUAGUUUUAGUUUUUGGGUGAGGACUGAGGAUAUUCCAAUUUCACCUCAUCAUCUCUAUCUCAAACAUGAACCGCUUAAAGACACUCGGGAAUAUAAGUAAAGAAGAUAACCCUAACCCCAUCACCCCCCACAUCAAACUAAGGUUGCGUUUGGCUGCUCGAGGAUCUAAAAAGCCACAUCCAUUUACAAAAAAGUUGAGAAGCAAGCAAAAGUGGGGAUAUUCCCUUGUACAACAAAAACUCAUAUCUUCCCAUUCCCUCUUUUUUUAUCCCCCAAGAUCCUCCACAUCAAUACCCUACCGAAAGCCCUAAAAACCCAAAAAUAAAGAUUUAAAAAAAAUAAAAAUAAAAUAGAAACCCUUAAACAAUGCUUUUCCACGACAGAAUUUUUGAGGUUAGAAAAGGAAAAAAAUCUAUUUCCAAAACUAUGGAAUGCUUGAAUUCUUUCUAUCGAGAAGUGCAAUUUUUUAAAAAGUAGUGAAAUUUUCAAAACUUUUCUAAGCUGUCAACAAAUUAUUUAUAAUUUUACAUCAUUUUUUUUAUUUUUGCCAUUGCACAAGUCAUCAUAAUCCCUAAAACUAAAAUUUUUUUGUGUCCUCAAUUGCACACAGUUGAAAGAUAGCAAUUCAAUAGACAAAUCUCGAAAAGUUUAGAGCCUUGAAAAUGGAAUUUUCCAAAAUUCUAUAUUUCUCUCCAGCAAAUGGUUCAAAAAAUUCACUAACGUAAAAUUGCAUUAUAGCCAGUCCUUUAAUAGGAAACCCAUGAUGGGUGUGACAAUUUGCAAUCAAAGAAACUAACAUCACGGUAUUGGUAUCUCACAAGUUUCACCUAUGUCUAGAUAACUUGUCUGGAUAACAACUGUCAUGCAAUAGAUAAUAUUAGUAAGGCAUAUAUAUAUUGAGAAUAAGUUUUGUAUAUGCCUUGCUA